GGACGUGAGGGUGAUCUGGCUGCGACAUCUGUCACCCCAUCGAUCGCCACGGUUGAUUCGGCUGAUCUGGCUGGCUAGGCGGGUGUCCCCUUCCUGCCUCACCGCUCCACGUGCGUCCCCUCCCGAAGCCGUGAGCUCGGUCGAAGAGGACGACCUUCCCCUAUAGAAGAGGACCGUUCUUUGGUCGAGGGUAUACGAUUAGCCGUGUUCCCCUCCUGGAACCUGUAAACAAGCUCUCAAGGUCCAUUUGUAGGAGAACGUAGAGUAGUCAAGCUUCCAAGACUCCAGACACAUCCAAAUGAGGCACUGCACGUGGCAGUCGGCCUUUCUAA
ensembl:misc_RNA 7SK 7SK RNA